GCCAGACUCCUACGGGAGGCAGCAGUCGGGAAUAUUGCGCAAUGGAGGAAACUCUGACGCAGUGACGCCGCGUAUAGGACGAAGGUCUUCGGAUUGUAAACUAUUGUCGUUAGGGAAGAGAAAGGACAGUACCUAAGGAGGAAGCUCCGGCUAACUACGUGCCAGCAGCCGCGGUAAUACGUAGGGAGCAAGCGUUAUCCGGAUUUACUGGGUGUAAAGGGAGCGUAGACGGCAUGGCAAGCCAGAUGUGAAAUACCGGGGCUCAACCCCGGGACUGCAUUUGGAACUGUUAAGCUGGAGUGUCGGAGAGGCAGGCGGAAUUCCUAGUGUAGCGGUGAAAUGCGUAGAUAUUAGGAGGAACACCAGUGGCGAAGGCGGCCUGCUGGACGAUAACUGACGUUGAGGCUCGAAAGCGUGGGGAGCAAACAGGAUUAGAUACCCUUGUAACC
rnacentral:rRNA from 1 species